AAAAGUACAAAGGCACGUAAAUUCACAUGACUUUCAGAGUCCAGGGCGUCCAUGUUGAUAGAUGUAGCUGGAACUCAGGUAGUCACUCUCGACAGCAACAGAAGCGUCCAAAAUGGUGGAGAUGGAAGGAGAACGGGACAUCAACAUUAUGGAAACGAUCGCGACGUCCAAAACUGAGGGAAACGAUCGCAACGUCCAAAACGGAGGGAAACGAUCGCAACGUCCAAAACGGAGGGAAACGACCGCGACGGGACAUCAAAAUUGUGGAAUGGACUCCGACGCUUGACAACUUCGACCUGCUCUCCGUGUGCAGAACUCCCAACGUAUCUGUUCAGUGCAAACAUUGUUGAUCAAGUUUAGUGUCAGCAUUUUCUUUUAAAAACUCACUGAAUCCAAACACCAACUGUAGAAGGAAACACCGUAAUGUCUCUUAGCUAAUGUCGCUUAUCUAAGGUCCUCGUCUGGACCAACCGAGCAGCCAAUUAGGGAGAAACUUCAUACACCUGUGGCUUUUUAGGCGUCUGACGACAGAUCUGUCGCAUCUUUAUGACGUCACUGAAUGACAAACAGCGGGGUUAGUCCGUCUCCUGUGGUUUCCGCAGGUGUUUUUUUCCUCUUUAUUAGAGUACUCAUAUAUCUUGUUUGUGUGUUUGCGGUCUGCUUCCGUAUUUGACAAUCGAAAAAAAUACUCAUGGCAUAUAAAUGCUUUUGCACUUGAAAGGCUAUACUUUCAUUUUAUGAUAUAUUAUAAUUACAACAGUGGUAAUUUUGGUUUUAAACUGGUCGACAAUAUAAUCAUUUAUUGUCAUAUUUGUGGGACGAUAUAUUGUCCAGCAAAAUGUUUUAUUGCCUAUGUGCAACAAUUAACUUUUAUAUAGCAUAAUAUAAAUGAAUAACUAAACUGAAAUAAAAUAAACGUAGAACAAUACUUUUAAAGUGCAUAACUAUAGGGUGUGUAAGACAUUUAUGGAAAUACUGAACAGUUCAUGUCCUGUUUUGGUUUAAUAUUGGACACAUUAUUUUUCUUCCAUUGCAUUUAAAUUUUAGUUCCAUGUUAUAGCAGUUUAGUUGUUUAACACAUCUAAAAUAUUAUCCACACAUUAAUGUCAUGACUUUUCCAAAACUUUACUGAAAAUGUUAUUAAUGUAAUGUUAAUGUAAUUAUUACAUUACAUAAGCCAUUUUCAUGUCUGACCCCAGCAGGAGUGGCCAGAGCAUUCAGCGGCUCAUUAUCAUUUUAAGGUUUAUUAUAUCUGAGGGUAAUGUUUAAAGUAAUGCUUAACAUUUUCUCAGUGCUUCACAACAAGUCUGUUCUCCCAAAGAAAAUCCAAGUCCAGAAUUCUUGUCUUUAGAGAGCUUUAUUUACACGUCCAUAUAUAGAAGGUUCAAGGUUCAUGAUGUAUUUGUGAAAAUACCUGUCUGCCCUAACAUGUGCCCUAACAAAUACAAUAGAAAAAUCACAUUUAGGCUCAAGUGUUAACAAUGAAGAAAGAGACAGACAACAUGUGGUUUGAAUCCUUUUCACAUUUCUUUUCCCAGGAUCAGGUUUUUCUUCUGGUUUUCUUUUUUAAACCUUCCUGAGAACAUGACCAUCUUUGUACUUUUGUGUAAGAAAAAAAAAAAAAAGAUAAGGGAUCGAGACAAAUUGAGCUCAUGACAAUUGACAGGAACCGUAGUCCUGUUGUGUGAUGUAUACAGUAUUGAUGAUACAAUCAUGUCGCUGCUGAAAUUCAAUUAGGAAAAAAAAAAAAAAAAAGCCAAGAA